AGUGUUCCAGCAUGGAAGGGGAGGGGUUCCUGAGCUUGUGUCUUUAACCAAGGAGCUGUGGACACUUGA